rnacentral:rRNA from 1 species
AGCAGCCGCGGUAAUUCCAGCUCCAAUAGCGUAUAUUAAAGUUGUUGCAGUUAAAAAGCUCGUAGUUGAAUUUCGGAAUCAGUAUGUUGGUCGUGCUUCGGUACGUACUGUCAUUACUGGUUUCUACCUUCUGAAGAACCUUGAUGUCAUUAAUUUGGUGUCUUGGGGAAUCAGGACUGUUACUUUGAAAAAAUUAGAGUGUUUAAAGCAAGCAUACGCUUGAAUACAUUAGCAUGGAAUAAUGAAAUAGGACGUUUGAUUCUAUUUUGUUGGUUUCUAGGAUCGACGUAAUGAUUAAUAGGGAUAGUUGGGGGCAUUAGUAUUCAAUUGUCAGAGGUGAAAUUCUUGGAUUUAUUGAAGACUAACUACUGCGAAAAGCAUUUGCCAAGGAUGUUUUCAUUAAUCAAGAACGAAAGUUAGGGGAUCGAAGACGAUCAGAUACCGUCGUAG